AACAAAAAUUUGCUGAAUCCUCAAUAUUGAGGUACGGAGGAACCAGGAAACAGGGGGUUAAUCCAUUUAUAUGGUAGGGUGAUCCUAUUACCCGAACCCGACAGCUAACUUCGGAAGCACACUAUAGGAGGACUA
rnacentral:sRNA from 2 species